CAAACCCGGGACCUUUCGGUCCACAGGCUGACGCUCUAUCCACUGAGCCACACCGGCCAGGUCCAGGCAGUCCUCCCUUUGAGAAGAUGGAGCAGGGCCAGCGCUAGCCCUCCUGAUAGCUGAAGGCUGGGUGGGGCUCAGGCCCUGCGGGGAGCGUGCGGGAGGGGAUGGAAGGCAGAGAGCAGAGCUGCCCCGACAACAGGAGCAGGUGGACGUGGUUCCCCGGGCAGACGGGCGGCACCACAGCCGUCUGGAGCUUGUCUGUCCUGGUCGCUGCCCUGACCCCAGGGCCCAGCACCAUCCCUGGCACGGCCAGGCACUCCGCCAAGAUUUGUGCAGCCCGCACUGUGGAAGCAAAUCAGACACAGUUUGCACAGUGUUGUCAAGGGGGCUGAAAUCAGAAGGAACCAUCUAGAAGGGUCCACUUCUUCAGCGUCCGAGGAUGAGCCCAGCGCUUGCCCCUGUCCACGUGGGAGCCGCCUCCUCGACCUCUGAUCACCGCCUCGGGAAGAAGCAGGGACGCUCAGCGGUGGAGCUCGAGGCUGCCGGGGAGGUCCAAGUGCCUCCAGUUCUCAUCCGAAGAGGAACACACCAGAGAGUCGCCACUCAAGGUGGCAAAGGUCACACAGGCCACGGGGAGAGGCAAGUCCCAGGCUGAGCCGCCGGGGCCACGAGAGGUGGCGGCCCUGGGGGAGGGGGGAGAGCCCACGCCCUGGUCUCCGGAGGAGCCUGCGUGGCUCUCAGACUCCACACGGGGACACGCAGCCCUCCUGCUCCUGGGCCCUGGCUCCCCGCCGCUCUCCCUGGCUCCCAGCUGGGCCACAGCCAGCCACGUGGGCCCGUGGCAGGGACACGCCUGUGUGUCUGGGCCCCACAGCUCCGUGUGGAAGCCCUGGGCUGUGACACGGGGCUGGGGACAGUAAACACAUCAUCUCCUGUCCUACAGUGACCCUGAGAAGCAAGGGGUAUUUUUUUCUGGUUUAAAGAGACUGAAAACAAAGCUCAGAGACGCUACGUCGUUCGCUUGAGUCAACCCCGCCAAGUAGGCACCAAGAAGACAUCAGAAUGCAGUCAGUCUGCGUGUUCAUCUUCCCAAGAGCUAAAGGCAGCACGCACUUCUGUUCCUGACCGGGGACAAGGCCUGGGGCCCUCUGUGGGUUCGCCAGAGAAGCUUCUGGAAAGUUUCUGAACUCCCCAAAGAGAAGAACAUUUCCCCCCCCUCGUGCAAGCACGUCCCCUCAGGCCUGGGGCAGCCUAACGGGUGGCUUUGCUGCGCCUGAACCGGGCACGGAGUGGGCUCCUCAGGCAAACAGUGCCCACCCGCCAGGCAACGAAAACCAAAGACGGAGAGUCGGGACCAGUGGGCACGAAGGCUGCACCCCAGGCCCCAGCCGUCCGUCCGGAGGGGGCUGGAGGCCAGCCUUGGCAGGGAACCUUCUCUCUGCCCACGGCCAUUUGGGUGUUUGCGACAUCAUUCCGGGGCCAUACAAAAGGAUCAACUUGAACAUGAGCCUGCUGCAUGUGGUGAAACAUUUAACGA